UUGUUUCAGCAGCACAUAUACUAAAAUUGUAAUGAUACAGAGAAAAUUAGCAUGGCCCCUGCACAAGGAAAGACACACAAAUUCAUGAAAUGUUCCAUAUUUCU